rnacentral:rRNA from 1 species
GUCGUAACAAGGUUUCCGUAGGUGAACCUGCGGAAGGAUCAUUAUCGAGUUUUGAACGGGUUGUCUGCUGGCUCGCGAGAGCAUGUGCACGCCUGUCUUCAUCCACUCUCAACUUCUGUGCACUUUUCAUAGGCCGGCUUGUGGGUGCGCGUUCGCGUGCGUCUGUAGGUCUGGUUUAUGCUUUACUACAAACGAAUCAGUUUUAGAAUGUCAUACUUUGCUAUAACGCAAUUAUAUACAACUUUCAGCAACGGAUCUCUUGGCUCUCGCAUCGAUGAAGAACGCAGCGAAAUGCGAUAAGUAAUGUGAAUUGCAGAAUUCAGUGAAUCAUCGAAUCUUUGAACGCACCUUGCGCUCCUUGGUAUUCCGAGGAGCAUGCCUGUUUGAGUCUCAUGGAAUUCUCAACCUUCGACUUUGUUGUCGGAGGCUUGGACUUGGAGGUCGUGUCGGCUCUCGUAGUCGACUCCUCUGAAAUGCAUUAGUGCGAACGUUACCAGCCGCUUCAGCGUGAUAAUUAUCUGCGUUGCUGUGGAGGGUAUGCUAGUGUUCGCGCUUCUAAUCGUCUUCGGACAACAUUUCUAAACUCUGAGCUCAAAUCAGGUAGGACUA